GGUGGUGUAGGCGUUAAGCUCGCGAGGCUAUAGUCCUCGAUGCGGCCGUCCCGGGUUCAAGUCCCGGACCCGGCAACC